rnacentral:lncRNA from 1 species
AUUUUGUUGAGGGGUAUAAGGACAAGAGAUCUGAUGAAUAAUUCCGUGAGAAGACAUAAACAGCUGAAAUUGAGAGGAUAAAUAUUCUAAGGCAUUAUCACUGCGAAGAGUGCGAAUAGAAACACCAAAUUGAUUUUUAAUUUCAGAACAAAAAUUUCGGAAUAUAGAAGACAACUCAGAACGAUCUUUCAUUAAGAAAAUCCAAGUACAUCUUGAAUGAUCAUCAAUGAAACUAACAAAAUAACGAAAUCCUAAGGUUGAACAUACUCNNNNNNNNNNNUAAGAAAAUCCAAGUACAUCUUGAAUGAUCAUCAAUGAAACUAACAAAAUAACGAAAUCCAAAGGUUGAACUGACUCUACUAGGACCCUAUAUAUCCGAAUGAACUAAAGAAAAAACCGACUCUGCACGACUCUCAAUAUUACGAGGAAAGGAGGCGCGCGUAUGUUUCCCGAGCUGACAUGACUCACACUCUAAUGUGGAUAAACUGGACAAACGAGGCACCAUCUUCUGAAGCUUGGACAAGCUAGGAUGUCCUAAANNNNN